CACUUUAAGACGCUAAAUCUCAAAUGGGAGAUCUGGGUUGAGGUUAAUGUUUAUUUAGAUGGUCAGCGAUGGAGUCAGUUUGAAAGGUAAUAAAAACUCUGUCUCUGUUCUCCGAAUCAACCAAUCGUGAAGAGUCAGAGGUUUAGUCAACCUCCGGUUGGGUCACUUAUUUAACCUGAAAGUGUAAACGAGUCUGGAAAGAUUUAUAUCCUGUUUCCUGGGACCAGAUAAGGAAACUUUCCUCUGAGGAAUGUGUGGGUUUCACACCCAGGGUUGUCUUGAUUGCUACAGUCCCCCCUUCGUCACGGUGGUCCUGUCUAUGGAGCAUCGGGACGACGAGUAGACAACCAUGAAGCAGCAGCAGCAGCAGGUAUAUGCAAAUAGGACUGAUGCGUCUCAUCGUCACUAUGUGAAUCACUAGGACUGCUUUGAGAUAAAAUUAAGCAUGCAUUAAGCUAUCAAAUAAAAUCGUCUAGUUUUUAGACUUUUCUCAGUUAACUAUUGGUAGACUAAUGUGAAAGAAAAUCUCCUAAUUUUUAGUAUUAAUGAGAUUUAGAAAAGCACUCUUUAGUCUGAAUGCUAACUGGAUCUAAAGCUAUAGCUGUUUUUCACGCUUGCUGGAGAAGUCUGAAAGUUCCAUUUCAGUUUCAAAAAUGGUUAAGACUUUGGUGGAAAAGAAAUGUCUGCUAUAGACAUAUUAACCAUCUGUGUAUGAGCAUAGUCAACCUGAAUCACAAACAUCAAAAGUUUACUGCACAGAGUUUCUCUUAAGCUUUGUCUGUUAAACUUGGGGAUGAUGCUCUUAUUGGUUUGACUAAUUAUCUGCUGUUGAGUCUGAAAUUUGUCAAUCUGAGUCUCAAUGACAGAAAUUUCAGCUUUUAAUCUGUUCAUGGGAUAUUUGACAGCUGACAAGCUGACCAUAUUGACAGAGGAGAGACAAAUGCUAACAAAGAAAGCAGCAACUGGGUUGCAGUCAUCAAUGUAUCACCACAGCAUUUGGAUAUCUUAUGGGAGUCAUUUAGCUUUGGCUGGGUGACUUCUGCUUUCGCAGGACUCACGCCUUCAUGACUCCACAGUGUUAAUCUCAGUGGUUAGCUGAGUGGUCAUGUUUAUUCACCUUCAAAGUGGAUGAAACCGAUUGAGGUGGAUAAUAAGAUCGUCGUUUCGAGAUCGAGUGUGAUUUACUCUGAUUCUGCCAGUCAUUCACCCCCCUUUGGCGGUGUUGAUGGUUUUUCCUUUGUCUAGGAUAAAACCCACCGUGACAGGAGUCUGAAUAACAACAGUUGGUCUCAAAGUUUACCCGGCAUUGGUCUGUGUCAGACCUGGGCCUUGGUGUGUAACUUUGACCUUUGUGAGUUUGUUGAGGUCGAAAAGGUUUUGGAGGCCAGGUUAACCACUCAUUUGGAGGCUUAUCGGAGCCUGAAAAUACACAGUCUGAAGUUUCGUUCAGCUCCAUGGGCAGUGAUUUUGUCUCCAUAGCCAAGAGAGUAACGGGCUCUGCCUUCUUAGCCAAAGUUUGUCGUUGUUUGGCAAAACCUUUUACAGCAAGUUCACGAAGCUGUCGGCUAGUCAAAGUGUUUGGACAAGCUAAGACGCCAAGGUGAUGACUGGUGGUAGGGUGGAGGUUCUGGACCAACAGCGUUUUGAAGUUCAAGUCCUCCUCCAUUUCUGGUUCAUUUCGGAAACCAAAGUAAGCUUCGCGUAAGCGGUUGUAAUAUUGUUGGGGAGAUUCUGAUCUCCCUUGUUUAAUAGACAGAGCAGCAGAAAGGCCUGUCUGGGUCAAAUAAUCAGAAAACUCUUCAAUUAAUGCUUGGCAGAGCAAGUCAUAAUUAUUUCUGACAUGAUAAGGCUGUUGUUCAUGGAAACUGCUAACCUCUCGACUUGACGUCGCCUUAAUAAGGUAGAUUUUGUCAUCAAUGGUGGCACCUGGAAAUUUCCUCAGGUAAAAGUCAAUGUCUUUCAAGUAGGUGCAGGUGUCAGUAGCACCUUGGUGCUCAGGUUCAAAGCGUGCUACGUUGCGAGCAAUUUUGUCAAGAUCCCUAUCUGAGGGAGAUGGUAAGAAGCCAUCAUGAGGAGGAGAGUAGGACUUUUGGCUUAAGGAUGACCUCUCAGGGUCAAGCAGGGUCCUGUCAUGAUGCUGAGAGAGAUACUUAAGAGUUGGUUUGGAAGGAAGUGAUGGCGCUCUCUCAGGAGGCUGAUCACCUAUCAUUUCUUCAAGAAAUGUUUGCUCCAUGCGUUCUCUUUGGGCUCGACCUGACUGGAGGGAGCAUUGUAACUCUCUUUGGGCAUCUUCAAGUUCUUUGUCUGUCUUUUCUUGCCGUUCUUGACAAAGAAUUAACUGUCUCUGAGCUAUCUGUAGCUGGUGCUGUAAGGUAGAAGUUUGCUUCUCCUUAACUUCAAGAGCUUCAGCACGCACUUUGACCAGUGCUUUCAAAGCAUUUACAUCUUCUGUUGCUUGCUCUAGUAGGGAUUCUGACUGUAUCAGAUCCUCUGUGGUCUUAGCAAGCUGCUUAUUCGUGUCAUCAAGUUCUUUCUCCUUUUUGUAAAGGGUUUCAUUAAGUCUUUCAAUCUUGUCUUUGAGAUCAAGAUUUUCUUCAUGACUUAUCAGUGAGGGAAGCUUUGACGCUUCACAUCUGGCACUGUGUUUUUCUAAAACACUUAGAGACUUCUUAGUCUCCUCUAGCGUCUUUUUCAGUGCGCUGUUUUCAUCUUUUUGCGUCUUUAUCUUUGCUAAAGCGCAUUCCAGCAAGUAGUCUUUAUACUCAAGCUGAGAAGACAUCACGACAGACAUGCAUCUAGUGAGCUCUUUGUCACGCAGUGUCGUGGUUAAGGCUGUUUCCAGUAAGUCAGCCAUUGCAUCCUCCGGAUUGGAGGGUUUGGCCUUUCGAAUCUUAGUCAUGUACUGAGGUAUCAGCUGACUAGUCAAGUUUGCCAACACUGUGUGUAUGUCCCUCAGGGGGUCUCCCUGGCUGGACUCUUUUGUGUUAGGCAUGUUUGGUUUUGGUAAAGAGGUGCAGCUGGUUGGUUGAUGAGUUUGAGUUGACUUAAAAUGAAAGGAAGAAGCACAAUAUCAAAUUAAGUGGGUUAAUCGACUUAAUUUAUCAGUGCUUGAUAAAGAGGAAGAGCCUAUCUGAGUAGAUAUCUAAUGGAGAGAAAAAAAACAUUAAGUUAAAUUCAUUUCAAUAAAAAUUGAAAGAAAAACAAGGUGAAAUAAUGUUAAAUUAAAUUUAACAUCAGAUACAGAACCAUUGAAUAAAGGGUUCAAUUUGUCUCCGUGUUGCAGAGAUCGGCAAAGCUUAAAUAAACUGCCUGAUGCAGUUGGAUGAAUUUGAAAAAUCAAUGAAAUUGUCAAUUUAAGGAAUUAACUCUGAAGUUAAUUCACAAAUUGCAAUAAAUCCAAAGGUUCAACUACCAAAUCCAUCUGGAGUGUUAAAAGAAAUUUCAAAUAUUAAUUAAUUUGUUCAUUAAUUAAUUAAUCAAUCUUAUGAGGAGGGUUAAUACAUUCACGUAUUAUAGGGAACAGUAAAACUGCUCACUGGUGUGAUAAGUAACAACAGAUCAGGUGAUUGAUUCAAGGAGUUACUUCAUCAAUACAUCAUGGAGGCUCUUAUAACAAAGAUAAAAAUCAAAAUCAAUGAUCAGUGAUUUAGAAUAAGCACAUCAAACUUCAUCAACCAAGUCAAUCACUUGAAUUAUGUCUGUAGAGUGUUACACACUGACUACAGAGAGGCAGUACAGCUGGCUGAUACUGCAGGCAGAUAAUAGCAGUGUUAGCUCAAUACCAAAAGCAACCAUGUGGGGCAGUAUGGAGUUGGGAGAACUGCACAAGCUCAACACAAGUAGAGAAGAAGAAGAAAAGAGGAAACAGUCAUCCAACUAGCCUCUCGUGGCUGUGUGAAGUUGGGAAGCAUGAGGGAAGGGGCCUUUAGGCUCUGCCUCCUUGAAGGGCCUUAUCUGCUUAAGGCCAAAAGGUCAGUCUCUCCACUGACAACAAAGGGUUAACAUUUCACAGCAGGCUGCAUCUGCACCCUCAGACAUAGAACUUUACACCAUCUGCUCAGGCAGAUUGGUUCAAUAGAAUCAUUUACAGGAACAAGAAUCAAAGUGACAAAUCCUUAAACAGCAGAUUCAACUGCAAACUUAAAAUCACAAAUGCAGCGAUUUGUGAACACAAAUUUUGUCUGAAUUCAAUCAAACAACAACCUCCCACUGUUACAGUGGUUUCCUGUGACAGGUAGCUAAUCUGUCAGGGGAAAGGAGGAAAUCUGAAUCCCAUAUAGUUACUAGAACCUCGUAGCAGACUAUAGAGACUUCAGGGGCUUGAAACCACAGCUCGGAGCAUCGCGAACACUGGGUUCAGCCAAAGGCCUUAAAUACAAGCGUACGGCGACGCAACAAUCGUGCACUUAAAUAUUGGACAGUCUAGACAGAGCAGAAGAAGCAGUCUCACUGCUACUCAGAACAACAUUUCACGCUGUCCAGCUCAAACACAGACUACAGGCAUGUAGUACAAAAGUGUGUGAAACACAGAGCACAAAGGUUUUAUGCAUAGAUCAGGAAAACAUCAGAACUUAGUCAAGCAACUUCAGCAAGCAUAGCAUUGAUUGUGAUUAAGUCUAAAAUAGCCGGGAAAUAAGUUUCUCUCAUCAAUUUGGAAGCUAAGUUUUAGGUUGUCUGUUAGUAUCCAGAAGUUUUGUUUGAAACGCCUCACACGGGGCACCAAAAUAUAUGUAGUGAUUUAAAUGAGCCUCACACGGUCGCACCAAAAUAUAUGCAGCGAUUUGAAAUGAGCCUCACAAGGCCGCACCAAAAUAAUACUGUAGCGAUUGGAAUUUAUAAUAAAUUGUCUGAAGAUUAAUAAUCUUAAAUUAUGACAUUUAUGCACUCGUUCAAAGGGGCACCACCCACCCUUAAUGGUGGGAAAAUAAAGAAAACAAAAGUUUAAUUCAGAAAUCAAACAUCAAGUCAGUUUUAAUUAAUCAGUUUUAAUUAAUCAGUCUCAUAUCUUAAGUCGAAAUUCUAAUUUCAGGGACUCCACUUCUGGAAGAACACUAACAGACCAGAACUUAGAAAAAUAAUUAUCUGUUUAUUACAGGAUAAAUGAUGGUACAACACACAUGCAAUAAAUGAUGAUAAGAUAAUGAAGAUAAAUAAUAAUAGGUGAAUAAAUAAAGAUUCUGAGUCAGACUAGGAGCACUAAAGUUAAUGAUAGUGAGUGAAUAUGCGCUAACAUAUUAACCUACACUAACUUUGGUGUCGAGAUAAACUCGGAUGUGGAUUUGGAGGAAUCUAAGAUUACCAGAAUAAGUGGAUAUCUGAGUUAUGAACGCAGGAGACAGCACCAGCCCUCUUUGGAGCUCUGGAGGUUUGCAUACUUAAGUGAGACUGGUCCUUGGAGAAGAUAGAGCAGGUUCCGAAGGUCCGGGGCUACUGGCGGUUCAAGGGGUUCAGCUCUGAAGACGACUGAAGUCAGCCGAAGGAUGAGCCAGGAGUUGCAGCACUCGGGCCCGAAGCAAAGCCAGCGCCUGUGGCUCCUGUGGAUGCUCGUUUGGGUACUUCUUUGGUCUCACUCAAAACUCUGGCACAGAGGAUGACCUGGGCCUGCUGGGUUGCGUUCAGAGGUAACUUGAAAUCACGCAGAUAACUCAGAAAAACGAGACUCGAGCAGAGAAAACUUUCAAAAAUGGCUUCGCGAAAUUAAAGAAAAAUCAAUCAAAGGCUUAAUCUUGAAUUGCUAUGUGCGCAAAAAGUUGAAGUUUCAAAACUUGAAUUAAGACGAUGUUAAAGAAAAAUCAACGUGAAUCAACACGUGGCGUAAACUUAGUUAGACUAAGAAAAAGUUCUAAGAGAAAACAAAGAAACGCACCACAGAAGGGUGUGGGCAGAAGAGAGGGUAUAAGAGUCUAGAGAGAAUAAGAGUGAACAAGAGAGUGAAGAGAAAAAGAGCAACCCCACUUCACUGGUUUUAUCUUCUCACACUGGGAGUGUUUCCGGGGUGUGUGUGUGAGGAGAAAGGAGGGGUCGUGGAAUCUCUGAUUAUUUGAUCUAACUUAUUCUUUUGGCUGGUAAAAGAGUCAGAUCUGAUACUCACUCACUAUAAUUAAUAUCAUUGAAUGCUAGGUUUCAUGAUAAAUAAUUUGAUACUAAACACAUAUGAAUGAAGUGCAGGAUCACAUCAAACAUUCUCAUUAUGUUUUAAGUAUCACAUUGAACAUGCUAAAUUACUCUGAAAUGAAACAGAGAGUAACACAUGGAAACUGUGAACAACAAAAGAGUAAACACAUGUGAAUGAACGUCAUCAUGAUUAAUAAUGGAUUCUAAAUACUCACAUUCAGAUUAUUCAAUGACAUUAUAACCACCUAAUGGUUAAAAAUACUAAAUAAACAUCUACAAUAUAAACCAAACAUUUCUAAACUAUUUCUGUGUUCAUAGAGUAAGUUAUGAUCCAUAGUCAAUAAAUUAAACUCUUAACAGUUCAUGAAACAGUCUGAAAAGCUGUUGGUCUAAAGAAACUAAAGAGCGAUAACUCGGCUUCUGGAGCACAUAGAAAAACGGGAAACAUCUCAUUUUAACACAAAUUUCAUGAUUAGACAGAUUAGUACAUUGCUGAAUGCAUAAGAUGUCAUGAUCAGUCAUUUGUAUUCUUUCACCAACGGAAUGUAGUCUUUAUCAGUGCAUGGUCGAGCAGGGUUUUACGACCGAGGUCUGGAGGUCAGUGUCCCCCCUUUUCCUGGGGUCCGUAUGUUCACACACUUUAAGACGCUAAAUCUCAAAUGGGAGAUCUGGGUUGAGGUUAAUGUUUAUUUAGAUGGUCAGCGAUGGAGUCAGUUUGAAAGGUAAUAAAAACUCUGUCUCUGUUCUCCGAAUCGACCAAUCGUGAAGAGUCAGAGGUUUAGUCAACCUCCGGUUGGGUCACUUAUUUAACCUGAAAGUGUAAACGAGUCUGGAAAGAUUUAUAUCCUGUUUCCUGGGACCAGAUAAGGAAACUUUCCUCUGAGGAAUGUGUGGGUUUCACACCCAGGGUUGUCUUGAUUGCUACAAAACUAUUU
rnacentral:lncRNA from 1 species